CCCCCCUGCCCACGCUGCACGCGCUGCACGCUUACCCCCUGGAUGUGUCUCCAACGAAGGCCGUAUUCUCCAACAAACUUUUCGAAUUAUGUCUACUAGGAAAAGGAGUUCCGCAAACGCGAUGAAUAAAUAUAAGGAGGAAUCUGAUGGGUCAGUGUCAUCGGAGGACUCGGACUACGAUCCCGACGAAACGGAGGUCCCAGGUGGCGGGAAGAGCAUCACCGCCCUGGGCGACGCCCCGGCGCCGGCCGACCUGCUCUCGUCAGCCCUCUCCUCGGCAGGCGUGGCCGGCAGCUCUGGCGUUAACGCAGACCGCCACGCCAAGAUCGACCGCAUGAUUCGUGAUGGCGUGCUGACCAAGGCGGGCCCGACGGGAGGGCAAGCGGGCUACCAAGUCAUCAGCAGCGCGGAGCCGUCCACACCGAGCGCCGCCGGCACUCUGGUGCAAAACUCUCUGACGGCCUCCGGCUCUGGACUGCCUCCGGCCGCGGCAUCCGGACUGCCUGCCGCCGCCGCUCGGAUGAAGGUGGCCGUCAAACCUACCGGGGCGAUGGGUGCGGCGGCCGUGAUGAGUCCAAUGAUGGUGCAGGCGAUGGCCGGUCAGCUGGCCCAGAUGGGCCUUCCGCCCAUGAACAUGGCCCAGAUCCAGAGCCUGCUACUGCAGCAGAUGAUGAGCCAGAAGCUCCCGCCGCCUCCGAGCCUCUUCUUAGGAGGAGACUCUAAGCUGGCCGCUCCGCCCGAAGACGAGCACGGCGAGGAGGACGACGACGACAUGGGCGUGGUGGAAACAUACGCCGACUACAUGCCGGCAAAAUUGAAGCUGGGCCGGAAGCACCCAGAUCCGGUGGUGGAGACAGCCUCACUGGCCAGCGUUCCGCCCACCGAUGUGUGGUACCGGCUGUCGCUGCCCGAGGAGCUCAUCAGCCAGGGCCGGCUGUCGGCGCUUCAGCUGGAGGCCGUCGUAUACUCCUGUCAGGCGCACUCGCAGUUUCUGCAGGACGGCACUCGCGCUGGCUUCCUAGUCGGUGACGGUGCGGGUGUCGGCAAAGGACGCACCAUCGCAGGACUGAUCUACGAGAAUUACCUGAAAGGCCGCAAAAAAGCCAUCUGGGUAUCCGUUUCCAACGACCUUAAGUACGACGCAGAAAGAGACCUGAGCGACAUCGGCGCCGGAAAAAUCAGCGUGUACGCCCUUAACAAGAUGAAGUACGCCAAAAUCAACUCGGUUGUAAACGGAGACGUCAAAAAGGGCGUGGUCUACUCGACGUACUCGUCACUGAUUGGCGAAUCGUCCACGGUGGGCGGGAAGUACAAGACGCGGCUCAAACAGUUAGUCCACUGGUGUGGUGACGACUUCGAUGGACUGAUCGUCUUUGACGAGUGCCACCGGGCCAAGAACUUGUGCCCGGUUGGUUCAUCCAAGCCGACCAAGACGGGCCUGACAGUGCUCGAGCUGCAGAAGCAGCUGCCCAAGGCGCGCGUCGUAUACGCCUCAGCCACCGGCGCCUCCGAGCCUAAGAACAUGGCCUACAUGGUGCGGCUUGGAAUCUGGGGCGCCGGCACGCCGUUCAGAGAGUUCAGCGACUUCAUAUCGGCGGUGGAGAAGCGUGGUGUGGGAGCCAUGGAGAUUGUGGCGAUGGAUAUGAAGCUGCGCGGCUCGUACAUGGCGCGCCAGCUGAGCUUCCACGGGACGGCCUUCCGCAUCGACGAGGUGCGCCUGACGCCCGAGAUGGUGGCCCUGUACGACGACUCGGUGCGCCUCUGGGUGGAGGCGCGAGAAAAGUUCCAGCGCGCCGCAGAGCUGAUCGACGCCGACAAGUCGCUCAAAAAGUCCAUGUGGGGCCAGUUCUGGUCUGCCCACCAGAGGUUCUUCAAGUACCUCUGCAUUGGCGCCAAGGUCAAACAUGUGGUCAACAUUGCCAGUAAUUCCAUGAAGAUGGGGAAGUGUGUGGUGAUCGGCAUGCAGUCUACAGGCGAGGCACGCACACUAGAGCAGCUUGAGAGAGACGACGGGGAGCUCACCGACUUCGUCUCCACGUCCAAGGGCGUGGUUCAAUCGCUGAUUGAGAAACACUUUCCUGCGCCGGACCGCGACCGCAUCAGUCGGCUGCUGGGCAUGCAGCCGGACCGGCCGUCGCCACAGUUCCAGGCCAUUCUGGACGAGAUCAAGGACGAGGCCUCGGCCAGCGGCGCCGCCAAACGAAAGCCAGUGAGGCAAGCGGCGCGCAGGGCCAUCAAACGCUACAAGCACGCCUCGAGCGGCUCCGACUCAGAGCCGGGCUCGGACCCGGCGCCACGCCGCGGCCGUGGCGUCGCUCACGACUCCGACUUCAAAAUGUCCGACUCCGAUGAUGAUGAGGAGGGGGCCAGCGGAGAGGCUGAGGACUCCGACUCCUCCGUCCACUCGGAAGACAUGAGCGACGAGGACGAGGAGUGGUCCGGUAGCCGGCGGCGGCGCAACAACGCUAAACCGAAAAGGGCACCUGCCAGAGACAAGUUCGCGUACAUGUCGUCCGGGAGCAGGAGCGGCGGCGCCGAGUACGCGCCGCCCAGCCACGGCGCCGUGGAGCUGGCCUGCCAGAUGAAGGACGAGCUGCUGAGGAAGGUGGAUCAGCUGGGCAGCCGGCUGCCGGCCAACACGCUGGACGAGCUCAUCGACCAGCUCGGCGGCACCGAGAACGUGGCGGAGAUGACUGGUCGCAAAGGCCGGGUAGUCCAACACGACGACGGCCAGAUAGCGUACGAGUCGCGCUCCGAGCAAGAUGUGCCGCUCGAGACGCUUAACCUGGAGGAAAAGCGACGCUUCAUGGACGGAGAGAAAGAUAUCGCCAUCAUCUCUGAGGCGGCCUCGUCCGGUAUAUCGCUGCAGAGUGACCGGCGAGUUAAAAACCAGCGCCGGCGCGUGCACAUCACCCUGGAGCUGCCGUGGAGCGCCGAUCGCGCCAUUCAGCAGUUCGGUCGCACCCAUCGCAGCAACCAGGUGAACGCGCCCGAAUAUGUGUUCCUGAUCUCGGAGCUGGCUGGCGAGCGACGGUUCGCCUCCAUUGUCGCCAAACGGCUGGAGAGUCUGGGUGCGCUGACACACGGUGACCGGCGUGCCACCGAGUCGCGUGACCUGUCACGGUUCAACAUCGAUAACAAGUAUGGCCGCGCUGCGCUGGAGGCCACCAUGAAGACGGUGAUGGGCUACGAGCAGCCCAUCGUGCCACCACCGGACGACUACAAGGGCAACUUUUUCCUCGACAUUCGACGGGCGCUGGUCGGCGUGGGCCUCAUCACACACGAGAACGGCUCCUACAUGCUCGACAAGGACUUCAACAAUAUGAGCAAGUUCCUGAACCGGAUCCUGGGAAUGCCGGUGGAUCUUCAGAAUAGGCUCUUCAAGUACUUCACCGACACGUUGUCGGCUAUCGUCACGCAGGCCAAGAAGACGGGCCGCUACGACAUGGGCAUCCUUGACCUGGGCUCGCAGGAGGGAUCUGUGCGACGCACCAAGCUGCGCGUAUACCUGCACAAGCACGCCACGGGCACGGGCCGCACGGAGCUGCACACGGUGAACGUGGAGCGGGGCUGCAGCUGGACUGAGGCGCAGCGCAAGUGGGCCGAUCUCGAGUCUCCCACUGAGGGCUUCUACGUGUCCCACCAGGUGCGCAACGGCAAGCUGACGGCCAUGCUGGCCACGCUGGCGGAUUCAUCGUCCAAAAUGAAGCAAGUGAAGAAGGAGGACCAGCUGUACACCGUGUGUCGGCCCAACACGGGCGUCCAGGCUCGGUGUUGCACGUGUGGACGCGGGUGGAGGGCGUGCUGUCUGCGGCCAGCGUCAGCCCGGCCCAACAGAAGAUGCAGGUCAUCCGGGUGCGCUGCUCCGACCAGCUCAAAAUCGUCGGCAUUGUGGUACCCAAUCACGUGGUGCCCAACAUGAUGACCAUGCUCGAGGAAGCCGCCGACUCGCACUUCGUAGAACAUCUAGACAAGGAAUAAGCCGACCGGGCGGUGCUGGCGCUACAGGACCGCCAGUAUCACCUUGGAGAGCCAGCCGGGCAGACUGCCCCGCAGAUCCAGACGGGCCGUCGCCGCUAACUGUAACUGUCUGACCGCGGUGUCCCCUCACUACGCGGCCUGUUCAUUAGAUAGUGACAAUUCUGUGUACCUUUAUUAGUGACCUGAAGGGCAGUUUUCAUUCAGUUGCAUUUACGUGGUGUCUGUGCGAUAUAGCCGGAGUGAGGACGUGUGCUCAGGUCCGGACAGACAGUGACCUCAGUUGGCGCUGGUGCGCCGCACCUGAUCGAGGCGGCUCGCGCUCCCGGCAAGUCCAACUUUGGCAAAUCCUGUCGCCACGCUUCAUUGACUUUCCCUGGAUCAUCGUUACAUUGAAAAAAUACAAAGCAUUUGCAUA
rnacentral:misc_RNA from 1 species